rnacentral:rRNA from 1 species
UACGGAGGGGGCUAGCGUUGUUCGGAUUUAUUGGGCGUAAAGAGCUCGUAGGUGGUUCGGUAAGUCGGAUGUGAAAUCUCCAGGCUCAACCUGGAGGGGUCAUUCGAUACUGCCGUGACUAGAGUUCGGUAGGGGAGUGUGGAAUUCCUGGUGGAGCGGUGAAAUGCGCAGAUAUCAGGAGGAACACCCGUAGCGAAGGCGGCACUCUGGGCCGAUACUGACACUGAGGAGCGAAAGCGUGGGGAGCGAACAGG